AAAUCAUGAAUACUUUUAUUGCAUGAUGCAAAUGCAUACUUAGCAUAUGGUAAGUAAUUACUUAAAAUAUGCACAUAAUAAUAAUAUGAUAUUAUUAUGAAAUCAUCCUUUUUAAAAAAAUAAAAAUAAACACAAUGUUAAUUAAAAGCAAAGGCCCAAUCUCAAUUAAAUAAGAAUAGCCCAUUUUAAAAUUAUUAGGUAGCAGCCCAACUAAAAAAAAUAGACAUGGCCCAAUUAAAUAAUAAAAACGGGCCCAACACUCAUAAAAAUCGGCCCAAGACCCGGCCCAACAGACCAGCCCAGCAACUUAAACCCUACCCUUCCUUUCUUCAUCCCUAGCUGCGC
rnacentral:lncRNA from 1 species